AACUCAACGUGGCCGUCUCGGCUUUUCAGAGUCUCAUCUCUUCGCCUCCCCUUUCGUUAUCUCUUCACCUUCCCUGUGGUUCAGUGUAUUUGUUUUAAUUCUACCAUAAUUGUUAAUCCCAUUGAAUCCAGAUUCCAUGUCGUCUUCUCCCUUUCAUUCAUCUCAAAUCUAUAAAUAUAAGCAGGUUGAGAGUAUGAUGGAUGCUCAGCACGAUUGUCAGUUUACCAUUUUAUUAAGCUAGAAAGAUUUUCAAAAAUGUCUUCCUCCGAUGCUGUUUUUUUGCACUCUGCGUUUGAGGCUCUCCGCCUUUGAAGAUCUGGCCAGUUUAUUGUUGCCAAAUUAAUCUGUUUUUGGGACUUGAAAAACAUCAAGAAACAUGGGUAAUUCAUGGAAAUCACUCUACUUCUCUUGAUGAUAAGAAUUCGGUGAUACAUGGAUUCAUCCUGCUGGUCGCGCCUCUUACUACCGUCCGUCUUUGCAAGGAGGUUCAGUCGUGAAGUUAAUUGGAGAGAGGAAGGAGCUGUCAUUCCAGUCAAAAAUCAGGGACACAUAUGUGGAAGUUGUUGGACGCUCUCGGUGGUUGGAGCGGUGAACGGUAUAAACAAGAUCAAGACCGGAGAAUUGAUAUAUUUGUGGGAACAAGAGUUCAUAGACUACUACAGAGAGGACGGCAAUGGUGGAUGUGAUGGAGGUACAGCAGCCAACACUUUCUAAGUUCAUUUAUCUCAAGUAUCGUAUUAAUUGUUUGAGUUGUAGUAUUGGGAAAAAGAUUCGAUAUGCAUCUCGCAGAGCGAGAGCUUACACGAGAAAAAUAGUGAGAGGAAGAUUCGUGAAAGCUGGUGACAAUUAUGACUAUGACCCACUAACCAUGAAAUCAAUGAGUUUUCUCUUCCCCUAAAACAAUUUUUAUUUUGAAUCGAGGAAAUCAACAUGUUGCGGCAUGGAAACGUUGGAGACCUGCACAAAGAAUGCUUAGAUGUAGUGAAAGUGACGAAUUGGGUGGAAGGCCAAAAU